UGCCUGGGUGGCUCAGUCAGCUGAGCGUCCGACUUCCACUCAGGUCACGAUCUCGUGGUUUGUGGGUUCAAGCCCCGUGUUGGGCUCUGUACUGACAGCUCGGAGCCUGGAGCCUGCUUCGGAUUCUGUGUCUCCCUCUCUCUCUCUGCCCCUCCCCGGCUCGUACUCUUUCUUAAAAAUAAAUAAGCAUUAAAAAAACCAAAAAAAACAACAUAAAACGUCUGCAGCAACCAGCCCCAAACAGUCAGGACUUGGUCAGUGACUCGCAGCUCCCCUAGAUUUUGCCUCUGCUUCUAACUCAGCCAACCUGAGAAACCAAUCCCAAAGGAUGCCGCCCUUCUGGUUAGCUUCCCUGCCCCCACACCCUCUGACCACGGCCCACACGGAGCCUUCCCCCUGGUCCAGUAUAAAGCUUUGCCACUCCCUGCUUUGCUUGCUUGCGAGUCUCUGCCAGAGCAAGCGUUACAGGCUGUGUCCCCCAGAAAUUCGUAUGUUGAAGUCCUGAUCCUCCCUCUCUCAGAAUGGGACCUUAUUUGGAAAUAAGAUGACCGCAGAUGUAAUUAGUUAAGAUGAGGUCAUACUGGGGUAGAGGGGGCCCCUAAUCCAAUAUGACUGGUAUCCUUAUAAAAAGGGGACAUUUGGACCCAGAUGAGAACGCUGUGUGAACACGAAGACGGAGGCCUGGGUGAGGCAUUCACCAGCCAAGGCACGUCAAAGUGUGCCCACAAGCCACCAGCCGCUAGGAGAGAGGCCUGGAACAGAUUCUCCCUGGCACCUUCAGAGGGAGCCUGGCUCUUCAGAGACCAUGAUCUCAGACUCCUGCCUUCUAGAACUCUGAAUGGGUAAAUUUGGACUGUCGGAGGCACGUGCUUUGUGGUACGUUGUUAGCAGAGACCUCGCAGCGAAGGCAGCAGGUGAUGGUGGCCGACUCCUUUGCUAGAGCAAGCUGCGGGUAAAUGAUGAUCUUUGCCUGCUCUCACCGGCAGGUCUUCGUCUAUUUCCACAGCACCCACCGCCCUGCCGGUGGGAGGGCCAGGCCUUCAGAGGGAGUUAGCAGGACCCCGGGCGGCCAGGCUUUUUGUCAGAAGCCCAGAGAGUAGGGGGCUGCAGGAAGCAUUUUCUCAGGCUGGGGGUGUGGGGCUCUGACCUGGCCGGGUGAUGCCCUGACAGGCUCCUGACUGAUCUUCAUGUGGGCCCCGGGGCUAUUCUGCCGUCCCUUCCGCGGCUGGUGACCAAAGGACCUCCCGUGAGGCGGUGGGGGCCUGGGCCUGGCUCAGGGAGGUGGUGGGCAGACCGCUGAGCAGGCCUCUCCCCGACCCCCAGACCGCAGGUGCUCAGGAGGUGGCUGUGCCCCUGGAUGGGUGCUGCCCUUGUAUCCCUAUGGCGUAAAGCGUUCGGGGGUCAUUCAAAGGUAUCUCUUGUCCGACUGAGCGCCGCUGCCUCCCGCAGGGGCUAACUGGAAACAAGUUAUUUUGAGAUCAGCACAGGCUGUACAGAUAACAGUAACAGUAUUUUAUUGCUGAAGUAGCGUGAGAAAUGUUGGGGGGGGGGAGAAUGUAGAUGAGUUUAAAAAUAGAAGGCUGUAAUUAGCCAAGCGUGGAUUUGUUCUAGAAGGCAUCGAUUACUACGGCAACCACACAUCCGGGAUUUUCCAGGACAGCCUCCCUUCGGUGGGACCCGAUUCUUUUCAGUGAAGGUGAUCCGUUAAACGUCCAAAUGCAAUCGAAUGUUAAUGGAGUUACACGACAUUGCGCGUGAAUUCACUCACUAAAGCCAAAUAAACACUUGAUCGUGUCACGACUUCUUGUCUUUCUUUUUUUGCUAUGGAAAUCUAGUCGCUGCGGCCGGCCGUGGUCUCUUCGACCGGUUAAGAGCUGGUUCCGAGGCUAAGACUUCAGGUCGGUGUGUGUCCGAAGCGGGGAACCCCGAGACUCGGCGAAGGGGAGAGUAGUCUUCAACUUCUUGACCUUCUUGACCUGGAGACUUUGACAUUUUUUUUACUGGCCGUGAUUCCAAGGGAUCGGCUCUCAAGUCUUUGCUGUAUUCCACGGACGCAGCGACCCAUGGAGUGCCAGAGCGGUUCUGCAGGGGACACGCAUGUGGGUUGUUGUGGCAGCUGACUAUGGCAGCCUUGGGGGUGGCAUCUCAAAAAACUUGCCCCCAACACUAGGUUUUGGUGGUAAAACAGAUUUCGAGGCGUGUGGACCACCAGCAUCCGGAGCUCCGGGGCAUCCUGGGCAUGGCAGAAGUCCAGCCUCCUCUUCAGACAAGACUGAAUCUGAAGCUCUGGGUCUUGGGACCUCAGGAUCUGCAUUUUCAAUACGCACCUAAUUGAUCUUUAAGCACAGUGGACUUUAGGAGCCACUGCUGCUAACGCUCAGCAAGUCGACUUGAACUCUCAACCCAGUCUUACCUCCUCUGUCCCUAAAAAAGAGGAGGACCACUUCAGGGCUCCAAUGCCACGUGCCCGAAUUCCUUCUGCUGAGUGGCGUGGGCAUGUGCGUGCCUCUGUAAGGCUGACGCCCUGCCAAAAGAUAGCCACAGGUGGACAUGCCCUCAGUGAGGCUCAAACGACGUGUACUAUUUCCAAAGAUAGCAACACCAAACCCGUGCUGAUGACUGUAUGUCUACAUGAGUGUGGCUGCACAGCCUUAUAUAGCGAGCAGGGGCUCCAGGAGGGAUCGGCGGGAGAACAGCGUGUUCAGUGAGCUCCUGAACGUGCCAUGUUCUCAACGCCCUGAUAUGGAAGGUCACCAUGUGUCUGCGUCUGUCUUUGGAGAUCGCCCAGCCCAGUGUGGCAAACAGCUCUUAAGUGCCUGUGGCGAGCAGAGCGGGGCAGCUGAGCCGUAACGUUUGCAAAUGGGAGCAAACAUCUGGAAUGGCUUUUUGUGGCAGUGGGGCUGUCAUCAGUGUUACUGACAGGUGCGAAGGAACCUCGUUUGGUUCCGGAGGAUAGCUAACCCACGGGGCCACGAUAGGUAAGUUGAGGCAGGUCCCAAGCAGCUAGCUGCUGUGCCCUCUGGCUCGAGUGUCAUUUUCUCAGUCAUUUCUUGGUUCCACCAUCUGAAACAGCACACCCGGUUCCCUUGCCUGCCUUCAAAGCACUCAGCGCCCUUGGGCAUUAACGCAGGUGUUCACCAUCAAGUCCCUUCUGGAAUGUGAGCCCCAGGGAGGCUCCCAGGCUGUGCCGCUUGUCACAGGAUUCCCAGUGCCUAGAGUGUUAGUGAAUUCUCAGUAGAUGGUAUCUCACGGGAAGGGUCAUGGGCUCAAGCUGGGACCUGCCCACCGGAGGUUACUGCUCUGAAUGGGUCUGAGCCAUGUCAGCGUCCCUGGCACGCCUAGCUGUACACGACAGUGUGCAAACCUGCAGCCGUGGGUUGUAUGCUUCCCCUACACCUUGUCCUCGGGGCGGGUCCCGUCCACAUGGAGCCUUCCGCUCGUCUCCAGUGUCCCCCAACACACGAUUCUCGCUUCCUUCUUCUGGCUUUUGUCUUCUUGUGCCUGGAUCCCCCAACUCCAGUUCUUCCAGGGCAGCUCGAGCAGUUCCUUCUGACCAACCCAUCCCCAUCUUCGCGGACUCCCAGCACUCGCUGGCCUUGGGGCCCUGCCACCAGGGUGGUGCUGCCUGGCUCUGGCUCUUCCAAGGUGGGAGGCAAGUGGGAGUGACGGACCCCCGAGUGCUGGGGCCUGAGCAUCUUUUGAAGUCCCUCCUAAUGCCUUGCGUGUGUUGGGGGGGGGGGCACACAGAAGGUGCGUGUGGAACCCUGUGGUUUUAAGUGUUCAGGCUCCCUCCUUAUGGGGACUACAGUUUGCUCACGUCCUCCUCUCUGAGUCACUGCUACGUCAGGAUCCCUUGUUGAAUUUGUACAGUUUUUACCAAAGUUAUCAGAGGCAUAUAGUGGAAGGGUAACAGACUGGAGUCCCUCUCCCCGCGUGAUCACACUUCCCAGGACAUUCUUCCAACCCUUCUUGUUCUUCCUUCUGGGCGUUUCUUCCUGUGUUCGUUUCCCAUUGCUGCUUUUAAACUUACCAAAAACUUAGUGGCUUAAAACAACACAGGUCUAUUGUCUUACAGUUCUGGAGGUCAGAAGUCUGAAAUGGGUGUCACUGGGCUAAUGUCAAGGUGUUGGUGGGGAUGGUCCCUUCCAGAAGUUCCAGGGGAGAAACUGUGUCUUUUUGCCUUUUCCAGCUUCUAGAGGCCACCCGUGUUCCUUGGCUCGUGCCCCUUCCUCCAUCAGGCACGUCCCUUGGACCUCUGCUUCCGUGGCUCUUCUUCUCCGACCCUCCUGCCUCCCUCCCCUAUCUUUCAAGGCCUCUUGUGAGUACACUGGGUUCACUGGAUGAUCUGGCAUCAUCUCCCUGCCUCAAGGUCACUGACUUCAUCAUAUCUGCAAAAUCCCUUUUGUCAUGUUAGGUUCCAGGGAUUAGGACCUGGGCAUCUUUGGAGACCAUGAGUCUGCCAAUCAUACCUCCAUAUGAGCUUAUACUGUUAUUUCCUGAGACCCCUCUUUUUCAUAUGACCUGCUGAGUUUUCUAUUACGAAAGUAGAAUUUCUAUUUGCCCCACCUGUUCCUCCCCCACCCCCCCGUCCACCCCCGCCAUCUACUCUCAGUAUUAAGACAGUGGAAUAAUUGUUUCAUGCAGAGCCAACUCAUUUACUGAGAUUUCAUUCCCUCUCCUGGAGAGAACAUUUUCUCCCUGGACUUCUAGUUGCCUUUAUCUCUGUCCUGCAGUUUACUCCCAUGUUUCUCCCAGAGCCUUUCCUCCUCCAAGAGCCCCUGGACCUCAGCUCUUUCAGGGCCAGGCCGUGCUCUGGGCACCUCACAGCAAGGUGCUUGGGUUUCAAGGGGGAGAGAGAGAGGCAGAGAUGGGGAAGGAAAGAUACGGAGAGAGAGGAGAGGUGUGUGUGGGGCGCGGUGGAGAAAGGACAAACUCCAGAGCACUGAGGAUACUGGCCGAGCCCCUAACUGCCUUUGUGCCCUGGCCCUAGGAGUGGGCAGUGCUGCUCCCGAUGCACUCCAGACAUCGAAUUCUAUUCACGAAGGCUCUGUGUUCCAAGGGGAGUUUCAAGGGGAGGCGGACAGAGACACCACCUCCUGAAGGGAGUACGGCAACAUCCGGGAAAAACAUGUGAGGACAGAAAUACUACAGUCACCAAUCUCGGAAAAUACUAAUCUACGGUACAGCGUAACACAGUUGUGUCCCCAAAGAAGAAAUUUGUUCUCUAAUAGACUAGUGGUAGCUGAAUAAAAAAAAUUACUUGUUUUA